rnacentral:rRNA from 1 species
GACGAAGGAUGCAAGCGUUAUCCGGAUUCAUUGGGUUUAAAGGGAGCGUAGGUGGCCUUAUAAGUCAGUGGUGAAAUCUCUGGGCUUAACCCAGAAAUUGCCAUUGAUACUGUAGGGCUUGAGUAUAGAUGCCGUUGGCGGAAUAUGACAUGUAGUGGUGAAAUACAUAGAGAUGUCAUAGAACACCGAUUGCGAAGGCAGCUAACUACACGAUCAUUGACACUGAGGCACGAAAGCGUGGGGAGCAAACAGG